UUGCAAUUCUCGCGAAGUUUUUUUCAUUCUUCAACCUGCCGUAAGAAUGACACGUUUGUACACCUAUGUCACAUGGGCUUUUGACAGCUGUGUUUCGUGACGGUGAUUGGCUGCGGCUAUUUCGCGACGGCAGAAAACGCCAUAUUGGUCGCACUUUCCCUCCACGCCCUCCGCAGUCCGCUGCUGUGCUGCGAUCGCUGUGAUGUCUGACGGGGCGGGGCGUCAAUGACGCGAGGGGCGCGGGAAGCGCGAAACUUUAGGAAGCGGGAUCGCGCGGACGCGCGCAGCCUCGGGCAGACACUUACCCUCGGCCAACAAACGUGUAUUCUUAAUUAACAGUGUAAUUUUCAACAAGACGCCAGCAUCUAAAUUUGCAACCAUAUGUAUUUCCUCACGAUUAUAAGAUAAUUAUUGAUUCAUGUGUACUAAUUAUAAAGUAAAUCACAGUAACAAGCAGACUGCCCACAUGACAUGAAAACUUUCUAUGAAACUUUCAAUAAAAUAUUUUAUAGACAGAUUAUGAGAACCUUUUAACCAACACUAUUCUUAAUAAUAAUAAUAAUAAUAAUAAUAAUAAUAAUAAUAACAAUAAUCAUAAUAAUAAACAAUCGACGUUGUGCUACGUACAUCAAAGGACAAUACAAUUCGAUCCUAAGAUAUAUGCGUAACAAUUAAGAAUGUAGAUCAUACGAAUAGAUGCCUAUUGUCCGUCAACAAUUUUGACGGCAACAUUAUAUUUCACUGAUAUUUUUCAAAUUUGCAAGCUACAUAUGUUGCUUCCGCAAAGCAUGUGUAGAAAUAAUAUACUGCUUAUGUUAAAAUAAAGCACCAUCCUAAACUGUGUAGAUAAAUGCACGGUAACACAUAUGCAAUAAAAAUAUUAUGUUAAUUAGUCAUGAUGGUAAGGCAGAGAACGUGAUUCAACCGAACAUGCCUCCGAGCAAAAAUACUUCAGCCCCGUUUUCGCUUUCCAAGGCAUGAAGAUUUUUCGAAACUUUGGUAGUUUACCAGAAUUAUGUGUAUGACAUAUGUAAUAUGAUACAUGUAAAAUCCGCCAUAUGUACGUAAAGAUAUAUACCUUUCGAACAUGUAGAUGUACGUGAUGUUUCGAUCAAUUGCACCUGAUAAAGAAGUCAAAGUUUAGCAUCAAACUGACUUGCUAAUUGUAAGAUUCAUUUUCCACUCCAAGGUAUAUUAUACAGACUGCGAUACUAGCAACAGGUCGAGUUCGGAUCAAGCGUAAUUAAUCGAAACUUCCUGUACACAAUAUAUUUGGAUUAUUUCUGUAGCCAUGGAUAAUAGCAUAAAUACUUCACUACCCCGAUAAUGUAAAGUCACCCUGGCCAUCUUUACCAUAAAUUAUAUAUUAAGUUGUUUCGUUUGAAUGCAAAAUUUUGUUUCG
rnacentral:lncRNA from 1 species